rnacentral:rRNA from 1 species
AUGCCAUUCAAUGUGGGCAUGUAUCGGUCGAAUUACUGGUGGUGGAAAUUAGAGACACAAAACGGGCUCUGGCAGGAUAUAGUCCGGGCCAGGUAUUUUCGCAACAUCUCUGUUGCUGAAAUUUCCCCCAAAUUCUCUGACUCGCCCUGUUGGAAGGCCUUGCUCAAAAUCAAGAACAUAUAUAUGAUGGGCAGGAAAAUUGAAACUGGUGCUGGGAACUUGAUAAGAUUGUGGAAAGAUCCAAUUAAUGGGCUGACCCCAUUUCAGGAUCAAUACCCACGUUUGUUUGAGAUAUGCAAUUACCCAACUAGUACCCUGAAUAGAAAAGAUAGACUUGAUGACCCUGAUAUAUUCAGACGUAGGCUUACCCCUGAGCUGUCCAAGCAAUGGGAGGAUAUGCAUGCUGCGGUUAAUAGAAUCCACCUCGAUGAGAGGAGUGAUCGUGUCUUCUGGGGACUCAACCAGAAUGGCAAGUUCACCACUAAAUCGGUGUAUAAGAUGUUGGAGGAGCCUCUUAGUGGAUGCCACUACAGAUGGAUUUGGAAAGCCAAAAUCCCUCUUAAAAUCAAAAUCUUCCUAUGGCAGAUGUCGCAAGACGCAAUUUUCACUAGGCAAGUUAUGAGAAAGAAGAAAUGGCCGGGGAAUCCCUGUUGCUCUUUUUGCAAAUAG